rnacentral:lncRNA from 1 species
AGAAAUCCUGGAGACAUGGGUGCAAGUUUAAAAUUUUAACAUCCUAUCCAUUUGUAAAUUUUUCCAAACCCGGGAAUAUUUCUGAACAAGAAGUGAAGCAUCUCUAACUGUUUAGAGGAAAUGUUAUUACACAAUGGAGGACAAAACAGGCAAGCCACUUCAAACAGGAUAAAUGAAUGAAGGCUUCAAGGGAUCAUUUCCAAAUCUGAUGGAUGAGUUCAAAAUAUUCAAUUCAUUCUAACCAUCAGGCGGAAAAACAGUCGAACUCCUGAGGAGAAAAGAGCAGAUAAAUGCUGAAAUGAACUUGCAUAUCUUUAAGAGGUGCAACCAAUGGAUUCACACCACAAAAACUUUUGAAAGAGAGUUUUGAACUGCUGCAACUUGUAUGCCCCUUACUGAAAAGUGAGUAGAAAUGUGAUUUUCUGUUUUAAAAC